CACUUGACGCUAACUUUGAUUUCGUUCGAAAGUAUUCACCUUCUUCUCGGUAAUUUUGAAUUCUCAGGGUUUCGCUUUCACUAAUCCAAUUGACGGAAAUUCCCCCAAAACUGGGGUUUUUGACCUUGCUCUUGCCACUGCACCGCAUCGCCGUUAUUAUGUGAACCGACUUCAUGAAUCCCUCUCAAAAGGAGUUCAUGGUGAACCCACAAGAUCGAGAUCUGCUCACAUGGCUGGCUAGGUCAAGUGUAAUUCUUCCUCACAAUUCCAUACGUAUUCUAUUUCCGUUAUUCAUUUUCAUUUUAUUUUCUAUAUGCUUAAAAGUUAGAUGUUCAGAUUAUGUAUUUUUAUUAUCAUAAGGAGUUGUGUAUGAACUGAUUUCUGCUAAAGGAGCUGUGAUAAUGGGUGCUGAUUUAAAAGGGCUUUGUUGUUAUUUUACAUUAAAAAUUUAAGAACUAUAUUGUUCAUUUCUAAUGUUUAAUUUUUUUGAUGAUGUACUUUUUGAUGGGUCAAAUCCUAUAGGUCUUAAAAAUGGUGGAUCCUAGGCUUUGGAGAUAACUAUUCAAUUGAUUCAAUUUCUAAGUGUUGUCUCAUUUAUCUCAUUUGGAGUUCAAUAUUGGGAGCUGGCUUCAUAACUAUUUGCAUUACAUGUCUGCUAUAUUCUUUCCAGGUUUCGUUUGAUGAAGAGUGGAGUUUGCCAUCUAUAUGCAUUUGAGGACCAGUGUUCUAUCCAUUUUGCAAUUUUUCAGCUAAGUUAUCGCAUUUUAAGCUGCACUUUCCACAAGGAAUCAAUUAUUUCUUUUGUCUCUGGUGAUUUGU